rnacentral:rRNA from 1 species
UACAGAGGUGUCAAACGUUGUCCGGAAUUACUGGGCGUAAAGGGCGCGUAGGCGGCCUUAUAAGUCAUUUGUGAAAGCUCUGGGCUCAACCCAGGAAUUGCAAGUGAUACUGUAAGGCUUGAGUUCGGUAGAGGAGGGCGGAAUUCCAGGUGUAGCGGUGAAAUGCGUAGAUAUCUGGAGGAACACCGGUGGCGAAGGCGGCGUCCUGGACCAACACUGACACUGAGGAGCGAAAGCCAGGGGAGCAAACGGG